rnacentral:rRNA from 1 species
UACGUAGGUGGCAAGCGUUGUCCGGAUUUACUGGGCGUAAAGGGCGUGCAGGCGGCCCGGUAAGUCCGUUGUAAAAGUCAAAGGCUCAACCUUUGAAUGUCAGUGGAUACUGCCGGGCUAGAGUCCGGAAGAGGCGAGUGGAAUUCCUGGUGUAGCGGUGAAAUGCGUAGAUAUCAAGAGGAACACCUGAGGUGAAGACGGGUUGCUGGGCCAACACUGACGCUGAGGCGCGAAAGCCAGGGGAGCAAACGGG